rnacentral:rRNA from 1 species
CAAUAGCGUAUAUUUAAGUUGCUGCAGUUAAAAAGCUCGUAGUUGGAUUUCGGGUGGGAAUGGCCGGUCCGCCGUUUCGGUGUGCACUUGCUACGCCCACCUUGCUGCCGGGGACGUGCUCUUGAGUUCACGCUCGGGACACGGAGUCGGCGAGGUUACUUUGAGUAAAUUAGAGUGUUCAAAGCAGGCCUACGCUCUGAAUACAUUAGCAUGGAAUAACACGAUAGGACUCUGGCCUAUCUUGUUGGUCUGUAGGACCGGAGUAAUGAUUAAGAGGGACAGUCGGGGGCAUUCGUAUUUCAAUGUCAGGGGUGAAAUUCUUGGAUUUAUGAAAGACGAACUACUGCGAAAGCAUUUGCCAAGGAUGUUUUCAUUAA